AGGGUUUGAUCAUGGCUCAGAACGUACGCUGGCGGCACGCCUAACACAUGCAAGUCGAACGAAGUAGCAAUACUUAGUGGCAGACGGGUGAGUAACAUGUGGGUAUCUGCCCUUUGGCCUGGAAUAACACGAGGAAACUUGUGCUAAUACCGGAUAAGUCUUUACGGAGAAAGCUUUAUGCACCAUUGGAUGAGCCCGCACUUGAUUAGUUUGUUGGUGGGGUAAUGGCCUACCAAGACUGUGAUCAAUAGCUGAUUUGAGAGGAUGAUCAGCCACAUUGGGACUGAGACACGGCCCAAACUCCUACGGGAGGCAGCAGUGGGGAAUCUUGCACAAUGGAGGAAACUCUGAUGCAGCGAUGCCGCGUGAGUGAAGAAGGCCCUUGGGUUGUAAAGCUCUUUCGUCGGGGAAGAAAAUGACUGUACCCGAAUAAGAAGGUCCGGCUAACUUCGUGCCAGCAGCCGCGGUAAUACGAAGGGACCUAGCGUAGUUCGGAAUUACUGGGCUUAAAGAGUUCGUAGGUGGUUGAAAAAGUUAGUGGUGAAAUCCCAGAGCUUAACUCUGGAACUGCCAUUAAAACUUUUCAGCUAGAGUAUGAUAGAGGAAAGCAGAAUUUCUAGUGUAGAGGUGAAAUUCGUAGAUAUUAGAAAGAAUACCAAUUGCGAAGGCAGCUUUCUGGAUCAUUACUGACACUGAGGAACGAAAGCAUGGGUAGCGAAGAGGAUUAGAUACCCUCGUAGUCCAUGCCGUAAACGAUGUGUGUUAGACGUUGGAAAUUUAUUUUCAGUGUCGCAGCGAAAGCGAUAAACACACCGCCUGGGGAGUACGACCGCAAGGUUAAAACUCAAAUGAAUUGACGGGGACCCGCACAAGUAGUGGAGCAUGUGGUUUAAUUCGAAGAUACGCGCAGAACCUUACCAACACUUGACAUGUUCGUCGCGACUCUAAGAGAUUAGAGUUUUCGGUUCGGCCGGACGAAACACAGGUGCUGCAUGGCUGUCGUCAGCUCGUGUCGUGAGAUGUUGGGUUAAGUCCCGCAACGAGCGCAACCCUCACUUUUAGUUGCCAUCAUUAAGUUGGGCACUCUGAAAGAACUGCCAGUGAUAAGCUGGAGGAAGGUGGGGAUGACGUCAAGUCCUCAUGGCCCUUACGUGUUGGGCUACACACGUGCUACAAUGGUAUCUACAACAGGAAGCAAGACUGCGAGGUCAAGCAAAUCCUUAAAAGAUACCUCAGUUCGGAUUGCACUCUGCAACUCGAGUGCAUGAAGCUGGAAUUACUAGUAAUCGUGGAUCAGCGUGCCACGGUGAAUGCGUUCCCGGGUCUUGUACACACCGCCCGUCACACCAUGGGAGUUGGUUCUACCUUAAGGCAAGGUUUCAAACCCUUGACCACGGUAUAGUCAGCGACUGGG
rnacentral:rRNA from 1 species